CCAACAGGUCGGGCGUAGGGCGUAAAUCGGUACCCGGAGGGUUGGAUGCUGGCCCCGAUGGUUGAGUGGGGGACGGGUGAGUAUCACGUGAGUAACCUGCCCCUGACUUCGGGAUAAGCCCGGGAAACUGGGUCUAAUACCGGAUACGACUGCCGGACGCAUGUCUGGUGGUGGAAAGUUUUUUCGGUUGGGGAUGGGCUCGCGGCCUAUCAGUUUGUUGGUGAGGUAAUGGCUCACCAAGACGACGACGGGUAGCCGGCCUGAGAGGGCGACCGGCCACACUGGGACUGAGACACGGCCCAGACUCCUACGGGAGGCAGCAGUGGGGAAUAUUGCACAAUGGGGGAAACCCUGAUGCAGCGACGCAGCGUGCGGGAUGACGGCCUUCGGGUUGUAAACCGCUUUCAGCAGGGAAGAAGCGCAAGUGACGGUACCUGCAGAAGAAGUACCGGCUAACUACGUGCCAGCAGCCGCGGUAAUACGUAGGGUACGAGCGUUGUCCGGAAUUAUUGGGCGUAAAGAGCUCGUAGGUGGUUGGUCACGUCUGCUGUGGAAACGCAACGCUUAACGUUGCGCGUGCAGUGGGUACGGGCUGACUAGAGUGCAGUAGGGGAGUCUGGAAUUCCUGGUGUAGCGGUGAAAUGCGCAGAUAUCAGGAGGAACAC
rnacentral:rRNA from 1 species